AGAGGUAACUUGAAUAAGUGAAAGCUGCUAACUUAUCACUUUAGCGGUUAAAUUCCGUUUAUACCUCUU
rnacentral:tRNA from 1 species